rnacentral:rRNA from 1 species
UACAGAGGGUGCAAGCGUUGUUCGGAAUUAUUGGGCGUAAAGCGCGUGUAGGCGGCUUGGUAAGUCGGGUGUGAAAUCCCUCAGCUCAACUGAGGAAGUGCGCCCGAAACUACUUUGCUUGAGUGCCGGAGAGGAUGGCGGAAUUCCCCAAGUAGAGGUGAAAUUCGUAGAUAUUGGGAGGAACACCAGUGGCGAAAGCGGCUACCUGGACCGGAACUGACGCUGAUGCGCGAAAGCGUGGGUAGCAAACAGG